AAAAAUGUUGCUUGAGAAUAUGUGUGGUCUUUUUUUUUCAACUUAAAUCUUCCAGUGGGAUCGCUUUUGCAUCCUAUGUUGAUGUUCUGAAUGCACUGUUUUGUCAUGGCUACUGUUUUACAUAUUUACAUAUAUCAAGUUAAUUAAGUGCUCUCAAAAGCUUCAUUGAUGUUUCUUUCUUUAGGGGAGGCUUCAUCCUUGAUGCAGCCAAACCUGGAGAAUUCAUUGGUGGGUUAAAGACUACCGUGUAAUGCCAGGAACCAAGCCAAACCAAAAAAAAAAAAGAAACUCAGAGAGAAUGAGAGGGGAAAUUGGCUCUUUCCAACUAACAGGAACAAGACAUUUUCAUUAAAGACUACCAAUAGAUUGAUAGUGUUCUUAUGGUCAACAAGGACAAGAAUUCCAGGGCUGCUCACCUUGAGUACACCUGAUGAACCAGUGAGGGGUGUGUUUCUUUUAGUCUGCAAUAUAUAUGGAGAGUUUGACUCUAAUUACAAGAUAAUUGAAUUAAUUUGAUAAUGUUUUCUGUAACUGUCUGUCACUUAAAAAAUCUCACAAUUAGCAGCAUUGGAAACUUGAUUAGAAAGUAGAAACCCUGCAGUAUUUAGUUUAAGUUGAGUAGCUGGGAAGACAAUUAGUAAGCUAUCAAUACUAAAGUUGAAGGCAAAUUACUAAAGUUUCAAGGACAGAUAAAUAGGAUGAAUUUCUCAUAAGAGAAUGACAUGAUUUGAAUUCCCACUAUAAGUGUAUUGCAAGUACCCUUCUGCUCGGGAAAGACAAUUAACAGAGAAAGGUUACGCUGGAAGCAAAAUAUAAGCUUUCUAGUUGUUGAGUUUGCAAAGAAGGAUGCCCU
rnacentral:lncRNA from 1 species